AUCCACAAUCUUCUGCUCUCCAAUUUUUUAUAAAGUCCAGUAAGGCUGCAACAUCAUUUUCAUUUUUCACUCUCUCUCUCCUCUAUUAUCAAUCUCUAUCUAAAAUAUAAUGAGAGAGUUUCAUCAGAACUCUAGCCUCUUCAUCUCUCCGCCGCUGAGUUGCAACGUUCGCUUCAGAUUUUAUGGUCUCAGAGGAACUAGUAGAGAGGGAGAAGAAGGGCAUAUGUUUUGUCUGGACUGAGUUCACAUUCAUGGCAGAGAGCAACUGCAAGAGGUGAUACCACACGUAGCACCAGUCUUUCUCAAUCUUACCCCUCUGUCAGGCCGGCCUUGGUCGAAUCAUGUUUCAAGUCUAGGUAAGUUGCUGUUUCACAUAUAUGUAUAGUAAUAUUUAUUAUAUAUGCUGAUAUAUCAUGUUUUAUGAUCCUGGUUUAUUAUAAAUUUUAGUACUUAAAAUAGGAGAUUGCAUGAUUUAAGAGUUUAUCUAAUAUUGUAGCAUCUGAAGCAGUAGAAAUUGAACAUGUGAUCAGCAGAGAUUCCUUCUUGUAUUAAAAGUUAAGUUUGAUCAUUUGUUUCUUUUAAUCUCCUUGAGUUUCUCUUUGGGUGCCCUUGGAGCGUGGACUCUUUGAAAAGCGAUAACAAUAGGUUCUUGGGCUUAAAUUCUAUUCUGUUUUACUGAUGCUCUAGGCAUCAACAACAUCAUGAAGUUCAGUCAUAGAUUCUCUUGUAUAUGAGUAUGACUUCUAGGUUAAGUUCUUUUCAUGGCUGAUAUGAUUACUCGCUCUUAGACGAUGGUGCUUGGUAGUUUACCAGCUUCACCUCCUGUGAGGCCUCCUCGAUCGCUUUCUGAACGUCCAAGUCGUAGGUAAUUUGCAGCCUAAGCUGAUUUCGAGGUUACUCAUUAUAACUACAAUCUACAUAUAUCCUGUUUUUGUUAUUAAAUUUAUCCUUUAGAUCUUAGUUAUGUUUAGAGCAGGUGGGGAGAGGAAGAAUAGGAAGUGGAGGGUGGUUUUGGAGUUUGUGAAUUGUGGAAAAUGGUGUGGGUAUACCUUGCACAUUGUAAAUGAGUAAAAUAAUAAUGGGAGAGAAAGGGGAAAAUAGUUUUUGAGGAAAAUUUUGGGUGGGAACGGUAUAGGUGGGUUAUUGGUUUUUUCUUUGGUUGGGUUAGAAUUCUUGGUGUUCUGUACAUAAAGAGAAAAUGUCAUGUUUUUCUUUGGGAAGAAGAGAGGGUAUAGCCUUGCAAAUGUAAUACACAGUGGGUUAUUGCAAACGUAAUAUGGAGUAUUGCUUUGGGCAUUGGAGGUUGUUAAAAUUCUUGUCAAAGUGAAUGAAAUAUUCACUCUUGAUUAUUCUUUCCACAUAUUCUAGUUGAUUACAUGUAUAAAAAUUAACUGUUACUUUUUUAAAGGAAGAAUCAUAGGAGAAUGUACUAAUGUCAGCUUGUAUUACUUCUAGUAUCAGUCUAUAUAUAAAUGAAUUUUAAAUGAGUAAAAUAAUAAUGGGAGAGAAAGGGGAAAAUAGUUUCUGAGGAAAAUUUUGGGUGGGAACGGUAUAGGUGGGUUAUUGGUUUUUUCUUUGGUUGGGUUAGAAUUCUUGGUGUUCUGUACAUAAAGAGAAAAUGUCAUGUGUUUUCUUUGGGAAGAAGAGAGGGUAUAGCCUUGCAAA